rnacentral:lncRNA from 1 species
UGGGUCCUCUUCGCUUGUUCGAUGAAUGAGGCGUGAGGCGAUAGUCGUUAAUCACGCCCUUCUCCUCACUGCAAAAACAUGAUUCAUGAUAGUCGUCAACCUUUAUUCCGCGGGUCACAAAGGAAGGGAUCUCUCUCCUAACUCCUGCUACUUACGUAAGGGCUAAUUUGGUUGCAAGGGAUAAAAAAUCCAUGGAAACUAUUCCCUUGAGGGGAUUUUUAGGUGCACACUGGAUCUCCCUCCCACCGUGGAAAAAAUUUCCCUAUCUGCAAGGAGCAAUUUCGAUGAAUUCUUCAGAGAAGAGAAAAGAAAAUUUCAUAAAAAUUGGGACGCUGCUUGCUUCAUCCAAUCGAUUCUUCCUUUCUCCACAUCUUCCUCCUACAAGCACCUACAAACAGCCCAUCUGAAAUUUACGAGCAGAAAUUGAGAAGGAACAACGGGAGAGAAAAAGGGUCAAGCAGCAACAGGAGAGGCUUACCUGGGCCGCCAUGGACUUAGAAGAGCUCAAGGGAGGAUAGCGGAGGCAGGACGCGCAGACGAUUGUGGAAGAAAGACCUUGCCAUGGCAGGGGGCCGACGAGGAGAGGAACAACCGCUAUUUCGCGGGGAGGGAGGCGGCGGCGCCACAGGGAAGGGAGGCACAAAUGUAGACGGAAGGAGGUGGCAUCACAGGGAAGGGAAAUAAUGGAGGAGGCGGCGCGGAAUCACAAGCAAGGCAGAGGCGGAGGCUUCGCCAACGAGACAUGGAAUUCUUCCCGACGUCGUGAGGCGUGGAACUUAUCCCA